rnacentral:rRNA from 1 species
GACGAACGCUGGCGGCGUGCUUAACACAUGCAAGUCGAACGGAAAGGCCCUGCGUUUGUGUUGUUCUCGAUUGUCGAACGGGUGAGUAACACGUGAGUAACCUGCCCUUGACUUUGGGAUAACUUCAGGAAACUGGGGCUAAUACCGGAUAUAAGCUCCUGCUGCAUGGUGGGGGUUGGAAAGAUGCGGCGGUUGGGGUUGGACUCGCGGCUUAUCAGCUUGUUGGUGGGGUAGUGUCUUACCAAGGCUUUGACGGGUAGCCGGCCUGAGAGGGUGACCGGCACCAUUGGGACUGAGAUACGGCCCAGACUCCUACGGGAGGCAGCAGUGGGGAAUAUUGCACAAUGGGCGGAAGCCUGAUGCAGCAACGCCGCGUGCGGGAUGACGGCCUUCGGGUUGUAAACCGCUUUCGCCUGUGACGAAGCGUGAGUGACGGUAAUGGGUAAAGAAGCACCGGCUAACUACGUG